GACGAACGCUGGCGGCGUGCCUAACACAUGCAAGUCGAACGGAGCUUUUAUGGAAUGCGACUUCGGUCAAAUGAAGUUUAAGCUUAGUGGCGGACGGGUGAGUAACGCGUGAGCAACCUGCCUUUCAGAGGGGGACAACAGUUGGAAACGACUGCUAAUACCGCAUAACGUACAUUUAAGGCAUCUUAGAUGUACCAAAGAUUUAUCGCUGAAAGAUGGGCUCGCGUCCGAUUAGGUAGUUGGUGGGGUAAUGGCCUACCAAGCCGACGAUCGGUAGCCGGACUGAGAGGUUGAACGGCCACAUUGGGACUGAGACACGGCCCAGACUCCUAC
rnacentral:rRNA from 1 species